CACUAGGUUGGAAAAGUGACCUUGAGGUGUCCGGAAGCGGGGAAUGCGAUCCUCAAUUGGUUGAACCGGCGGGUUACGUGGUUGGCCCGGUCCUCCCCCUGUGGCGGCUCCCGCCCCAGGAGUUCGCGGAGUAUCGAACAGGCAGGUCGAGUUGAGAUCAGGAGGUAGGCGACCCUGGUGCCUCCGCUGAUGGACGGCGUCAGAUGCGCGUUGAUGUCUUUCGAGCCACCAGUUGUCAGUAUUUAAGCG
rnacentral:lncRNA from 1 species